UCGAGAAUAUUCGACAAUGGAGGAAACUCUGAUCGAGCGACGCCGCGUGCAGGAUGAAGGUCUUAGGAUUGUAAACUGCUUUUCCACCUCAAAAAGUUAUUGAUUAAGGUGGGAAUAAGAAGCUGCAAACUUCGUGCCAGCAGCAGCGGUAAUACGAAGGCUUCAAGCGUUAUCCGGAUUUAUUGGGCGUAAAGAGAGCGCAGGUGGUCUCGCACGUCUGUUGUUAAAUGUCACCGCUUAACGGUGUCACCGCAAUGGAUACGACGAGACUAGAGCGUGUAAGAGGUAACUAGAAUUCACGGUGUAGGGGUGAAAUCCGUUGAUAUCGUGGAGAAUACCAAAGGCGAAGGCAUGUUACUGGUACACUGCUGACACUCAGGCUCGAAAGCGUGGGGAGCAA
rnacentral:rRNA from 1 species